ensembl:lncRNA
CAUAUUUGAGCCCUUUUACCUAAUGUCAUCAAGGCAUGUUUCCAGAAUCCCAUGCCAGGUACCCCAGCACCAGCCCUGCCGUGCCCUUGCAUGAAGUGGCCGCUCCGUUCUUGGCCUGGGGGGAGGGAUGGUCGGGUGUCGAACUGGCUGCUGCUUCCUUACAGAGCAGCCCACAAGACAGGCUUUCCAAUAAAGCAAGAUAGAGACAAGUUAAAGCCGUAACAAGAAGCAAACCCAAGUCUUCCAAGGGAGCCCCUCAGACACGCUCCCCCCCAUGCUCAGCUGCGGGCCUCAAACCACUGUGUUUCUGUCUGGCCGAAGUGUGUGCUGAUGCUGCUCAGCGCCAUGCCACUGCCUCGUGGGAGUGAGCAUGUCCCAGGGAUGGACUGCUGUCUGCACACCACUUUGGUUUAAUUCUCCCAUUUCCUAACUGAUACACAAAAUCAUUUCUUAAAUAACGUCAUUUUUACAUUUAGAAGAGUUAAGAUACUGAUUUUUCUGCUCAGUCCAUUGGCUGUGGAAUCACUGAGUGAUGCAAGGCAGCUGUUCCUGCACUUUCAAAGUGCUAUUGCUGAGAACUGUGUACAUACAAAGGCAUAAAUAAACCUGCACUAGGAAGAAAGAACGUGGCAGAAACAGUAGAGAUCCUGGGAUGUGUGUUCAAGGCAAAGACAAGGACUUUCUGAAGAUAUGACAGAACACCAUGGCUCUCCUCUCCACCAACGAAGGACUCAACAAUCCAAAGGAAGGAGAACCAUCUGAGAAAUGGGAGCCUAUCUUGUCCUGCUGAAACAAAAGAGUUGAUGUAUCUUUCUGGAUGUGGAAGGUGCUCAUCAGAAGCACUGGAACCACUUGGAGCAGAUGACAAGUUUUGAAGGUCACAUGUUGGUGGAUCACAAAUUCACUCAGUCCAGUAGACAGAGACACAGCUAAAGCUGAACUUCAGCAGCUACUCCAAGAAAAGUGAGUGGUAAGAAGUUAUGGCUAUGGCAUGUUCAGAAAAUGAGCAGUAGGUGAUCUGGCAGGCUCAGUCCCACAGAUACGUGCAGAAAAACUUUACCUCAUGCAAGUCAGUUGUUCAACUCUCCAAGACAAGGGGCUGCUUGCAUUUGCAAGAGUUUCCAGAGCUGAUCUUCAGGGCAGCUUUCUUCCCAUUGGAACAAAAACUGUGAUAGAGCCUCAGCCUCAUACCAUAAAGAAAUGGACUGAUGAUUUUUGUUCUGCAUUUUGUCCCACCAAAAAAUGAGAAGUGAAAAGAUUGCAAGGGAAACAGCUUGCUUAUUCUUUCUGCAUCUGGCUGCUAACUUGGUAUGAACUGUACACCAAGAGCUGGAAAUGUCAAAUUGGCAAAACAUAUCACAAUUUCCUGCAUGUAUUAUAAGGCAAGUUUGGUGACAUCACCUCUGAAUUAAGUGGUGAUUUUAAAGAUAAUUUGAUCAACAAGCAGAGAAUGUUACAAAAAUUAAAAGCAGUUUAAUAGUGAAAUUUUUAAAUUUUGGAGGCACUACAUUAAAUUAUGCAGCCGUACAUCAAAUGAAUUUUCAAGUCAGAGUGGCCUCUGGUUAAUGUGUAUUGAAAUAAUCCUAGUUCAGGAAAUAUUUGUGUAAAAAAACAACAUGUGAUACACUUAGAUUUUGCCUUUUAAUAUACUUAUGAUGGUAUAUUAAAAAAUACAGCCUGGUAAGCAUUCGUUAGCUGCAAAAGAAGCACAGGGAUGCAUACAGUUAUUGCAAUAACCCAAAGUGUUGAAUUACCUGGGCUAGAACAGCAGUAGUAGAUUUCUUUCAGAAAAAAAAGGCUGCUCAAAUAGACACAGGCUGUAAGAUUACCUUUAAAAUGUUUUACUGUGGACCUAAAAUAGCUACCCAGCUUAAAAAAAAAAAAAAAAAAAAAAAAAAAAGAGGGAGAGAGAGAGAGAAGGGGAAGGAAAAAAAAAAAAGAGGGUGAGAAAGAGAACAUAAUUUCAAAACCCUUAGCUUAUUUUUAAUUUAUAGUCCUUGGAAAAAAAAUAAGUGGAUAGCCCAAUCAUUUAUAUGCCUGGGCAAAAGCAAUACAUCUAUAUAAAAGUACAGUGAUAUAUUUCUGUUGCUAGUUUAAUGUGCUGCUCUGUGCCCUGCGUGUUCUGAUUCAUUGGAGAGCAGCAAUCAUGUCGACAGGAGCUGUUCUUCAGUUCCCAUCAGCGACAACUAAAGGCCAAUUCAAGGUUGUGGUGGGGUCAUGAAUCUAACACAGUCACUGAUAGAACAAUUUCCCUUCCACAUGACACCGUCAGUGGGACACAGAGGGAAUAUACAGCCAGGACUGCAGAAGGUAUGUCUCGUUAUUCUCAUGCCUCCUCUCCCCCCUUCCUUUUUUACUUUUAAUUUUUGAUGCUGGGCUGUGCUGUUCUGUUAAGAAGCCUCUGGGGAAUACAUAGUCAGGAAAUAAGAAGAGGUGAAACUUCUCAGCCUUUCAGAAACCAGCAUCUUCUUGGCCUCUGUGCAGAGCAGCUCAGCAAUAUGAGCUCAGUUUGAGAGCCAGAUCCACCCCAAGACGAGCUGUAUAACCAUGCCAGCCUUCUAAAUGAGGAAGAUGUGGGACCAAGCUCUGCAAUGACCUCUCUUCUGGUACUGUACCCUUUGUAUUAAUAGAAAAGACAUUUUUAUUUGGAUUGAACCCCACCAGAGUCACUAGCCUUUCACAGUAUGAAACUUGGACCUGAAUUUUGCCUGACACAUUCUUUUCACACAUUUGUAGUUGAUCCUUCCAGGGGACUUGGCACAAGCCUGGAACAAGCCCCCCAAAAAGAGCCAGCUCCUGCUAUUGUUUCUGCCAUACAUGUCCCAGGCAGAGUAGAUUUUGGACUAGAUGAGUAAUGUUUCAUUCUCAUACCACUAUUAGUCAUGGUGGGUAUACAACAUCUGACACAUUAGCACGGUAUAGCUGAGAACUUUCAGUUAGAACUGCAAAUUCUAAUCUCUAGUCAUGGGGCCCACAUUGAGGAGCAUUUUUAUUGCACUGAUAGAAACAGUGAACACAGUAAGCACCACAUUUUGAAAAAUUACUUCCAGUACAGAAAGUCUUAAGUCAAUGCAGAUUUCUGUCUCCCAUGUUAAAAUAAAAUAAAUAAAAUAAAAUAAAAUAAAAUAAAAUAAAAUAACACAAAAAACAGACCUGCAAAGUCAUAGAAUCAUAGGAUGGUUAAGGUUGGAGGGGACUUUAAAGAUCAUCUUGUUGCAACCCCCUGCUGUGUGCAGGGUUGCCAUCCACUGGAUCAGUCUGCCCAGGGCCCUAUCCAGCCUGGCCUCAACUGCCUCAAGGGAUGGGGCAUCCACAGCCUCUCUGGGUAGCCUGUGCCAGUGACUGACCACCCUCUGAGGAAAGAGUUUCCUCCCAACAUCUAACCUAAAUCCCCCCUCUUUUAGUUUACAGCCAUUCCCCCUUGUCCUGUCAUUCUCAGACCAUGUAAAAAGUUGGUCCCCCUCCUGCUUGUAAGUUCCUUCAAGUUCUGGAAGACUGCAAUGAGGUCUCCUAAGAGCCUUCCCUUCUCCAAGCUGAACAAGCCCAAAUCCCUCAACUUAUCUUCAUAGGAGAGGUUCUCCAGCCCUUUGAUCAUCUUCAUGGCCCUCCUCUCAACCUGAUCCAGCAGCUGUGCAUCCUUCCCAUACUGGAUGCCUCAGGCCUGGGCACAGUACUCCAGAUGUGGCUUCAUGAGAGCAGAGGGGGACAAUCCCUUCUCUUUUCCUCCUGGCCUCUGCCCUUUUGAUGCAGCCCAGGAUAUUGUUGACCUUCUGAGCUAUAAGAGCAUACCUCUGGCUCACCUCCAGCUUUCUGUCCAUCAAGACCCCCAAGUCCUUCUCUGCAGGGCUGCUCUCAAGGACUUCUUCUCACAGACUGUACUCAGCUCUAGGAUUGCCUCAACCCAAGUGCAAUACCUUGCACUUGGCUUUGUUGAACCUCAUUAGAUUCUCAUAUGCCCACUUUGCAAGCCUGUCCAGGUCCCUCUGGAUGCCAUCCCUUUCUUCUACUGUGUCAACUGUGCCACUCAGCUUAGUGUCAUCAGUAAACUUGCUGAGGGUACACUCAAUCCCACUGUUUAUGUUGUUGAUAAAGAUGUUGAAGUAUACCGAUCCUGAGAUAGACCCCUGAGGACACCACUUGUGACCAGCUCCACCUGGAUAUAGAACCAUUGUCAUCAAUUCUCUGGCUACAACUAUCCAACCAAUUCUUUAUCCACUGAAUAGCCCAUCCUUCAAAUCUAUUCCUCUCCAAUUUAGAGAUAAGGAUGUCAAAGGCCUUGUGCAAGUUCAAGUAGAUGACAUCAGUUGUCCUUCCUUUGUCCACUGAUGCUGUCCACCAGAUUGGUCAGGCACGAUCUGCUGUUGAUGAAGCUGUGCUGGCUGUCUCAGAUAACGUCAUCUUCCAUGUGCCUUAGCAUCUCUUCCAGGCAGAUAAGAUCCAUGAUCUUCCCAGGAAAAUGUGUUCAUGCGUCUAUGAAGCUCCAGACAACUUUCUCAGCCCUGGAGAUGGCCCCUUCAGUCUGAGACUCCCUGAAAAGCAAAACCAGAACAGCAAUGGUGGGCCUAUGUUUGUGCAGGGCUAUAAAUGUAGGGCCUCGGCACCCAGCGUGUCACACCCUUACCAGCUGCAAGUACUGAAAUCUCUGUGUUUCUGGGAAACACUGGAACAAAAUUAGCAAAAAGUUCAAAAAGCUCAGAUCUAAAAAUAUAGCUGCAAUUCUCAAUUCCCUUUAAUAGAACUUUAUUCCUGAACUUGGUGUAACUGAAGGUAUUUAUAGAUAGGGUAAAAAGAUGGAAUAGAAAUUUGUAUUUAUGGAUAAUAAAGAAGUGCUGUGAACGGGAAGAAGCAAGGUUGUGUAACACACCACCUUCUGCAGUGGUGUCCCAGCAAGGACGGGAGCUCCGGUUCUGGUUCAGGCCUGGCAGCGGUUUAACGUUUAUCCCCUUUCAGCUGACAGUGACCAGGAGCACUCCAGGCAUGAUCACAGCAUGUGUGAGCUUGGAGGUGACCACAAGCUCCUUGGGGCGCCAUGUUGCUGUGGGCAGCGGCCUUGAGUACUACUGUCACACAUGGUCCUUGGCCUCGAGGUAGAGAUCAGGUGCUCUGAUUUCACUUGUGUUAAAAGUACUCUGAAAAUGGAGACUCAGGUCUCUCUCAUUAAGUUAGAUCUGAACUGGCAACUGGAUUAGUAUUAAAAUGACGUACACAUGCAACUCACAUUUCCUAGGUUACAAAUAACUGGAGCAAAGCAAAUAUACCAACAUUAAUAAUUCACCAUAAGAGUUUAGCUCGUUUUUCUUUUAUGGAACUUCUACAAGCAGAUUGCAAUUUCCUCAGAUUUAUUCAUUAUUCAGAUUCAGUCAACAAUUUAAAAGAAGUGUUUACCUACUAGAUAGCCUGCGGUUUGCCUCCAGUGUCACUAGUCAGUUUUGUAACUUGAACUGUUAGUCAUAAUAAUGUAAUUAAGUCAUCUGAUAUGAUUUCUGUCCCUUGGCUAUGUCAAAAUUUAAUUCUUUGGGGAGAAACUACCAUCCACAUGUGUAUAAAGAUCAAGUUUCUACAAACAUUAUUGUCUGUGUCCGAAUUCAUCUGCAUGCACGCAGAACUGAGCUGCUCAGAUGUGUGGCAAAUGAUCAUUAAAACAGGCAAAACGUCUUCAUUUCCUCACUUCUCUGUCAAGAAAGAAAAUAAAUGCUCCUUAUCUGUGUUUAAUCUCUCCUGCUACGUGGUUCUUCCCUUUCUCCACUGGUUCUGCACAUAGAAAGUUAACAAAUAAAAAGCUACUGACAACAAUGAGAGACCUUUUACUUUCAUCUCAGCAGAAGCCUUUAAGUUUCUGAAGAUCCACAGCCACAAGUGAAUGCCAGCACUGAGAUGGAGAAACCAGCCUGGCCAAGAGCCCUCCGCCCCAGGCCAUUACAGGAAGCUGUCGGCUUGCAGAAGGACCUGGGAAAUGAUGGUAGUGAUGACAGGAAAGAGAAGAGCUCCUGGUUAUUCUGUGCUCUCUAGUCAUCCACCCCGCCAUGGCCAUGGCCCUGCUCUCAGCUGAGCAAAGCGCUUCUGCAGAGCUGAGUCGCAGCAGAAGCCACAGCACUGUUCAGGAGGAGGUAAGAAACCAGGAUGCGUAGGCUUCCUCCAGAAGGCAGGGCUUUCUUUCCCUAGAUCUAUUUUGCCUUUGAAGCUGCAGUGCUCUCUCCGUGUUUUUGGAGGAGAUGGAAUAGAUUUAAAAAGUGGCUGCUUAUCGAUUUAUGGUCUUUAUGCUGGACAUGGCUUUUUAUUAAGGAAAGCAGAUACUCAAUACUGUUAACUAGUAAUGGGAAUUGACUUUUCACUAAUUGCACAGAACCUGGCAUUAAUACACUUUAAUAGAAAAUGGGUCUGUGCGCUCUGGAUCAAUCCUGAAGUUUUUUCUGCCUGCACUACGGACAAAGGACUCCAGCAACAGCAACGUAGUUAAAUGAGAUGCUUCAUUUUUUUAUUUAUCUACCAUCCAUCCAAUUACUGAGAUAAGCACACAUCUCCAGGGGAUGAGGGAAGGCUGUAGCUUGGCUGCUCAUCCUGUCUGUCCUGCAGGGACCAUCCCUUCCCGUGUGGCUGUGAUGCAGUACACCACCCGGCUCCCAGGGCUGGUCCUGCACCAGGCAGAUUGCCACUGGCUUUAAGGCCCUGAGCACAUGGCUUGGAGCAGCCUCACCCUGUUGCCAUCCCUCAGGCUGCGAUCAGCUCUCCUGUUGGCCAGAUUAGCCUCCUCUGUGGCCAGCAGGAUAACAGCAG